GUACACGCUGUGACUAGCAUAUCAAUAAGCGGAGGAAAAGAAACUAACAAGGAUUCCCUCAGUAACGGCGAGUGAAGCGGGAAGAGCUCAAAUUUGAAAUCCUGAAAGGUCACCUUUCACGAAUUGUAGUUUAAAGAAGUGUUUUCUGUUACGAUCGUAAUAUAAGUUCUUUGGAAUAGGACAUCACAGAGGGUGAGAAUCCCGUCUAUGAUUGCGAUUUGUAGCUUUGUGAUACACUUUCAAAGAGUCGGGUUGUUUGGGAAUGCAGCCCAAAACGGGAGGUAAAUUUCUUCUAAGGCUAAAUAUUGGCGAGAGACCGAUAGCGAACAAGUACCGUGAGGGAAAGAUGAAAAGAACUUUGAAAAGAGAGUUAAAUAGUACGUGAAAUUGUCAAAAGGGAAGCGUUUAACACCAGUGUUGUUUUCUGAAAAUCAACCUCCGUUAGCUUUAUGCAUGUUUGUUUAGACCUAAUCAGCUAUCUUUCAUGUUCUAUUGUUUGCAGUGGUGCACUUUUCAGUUUACAGGUCAACAUCAGUUUUUUUUACCGUAAAAAAGUUAAAGAAAGGUAGCUCAUGGCUCCGGUCGUGAGUGUUAUAGUCUUUUUCCUAUGCGGUAGGAGAGACUGAGGUCUGCAGUGUAGGCUAUUUGGCUAGAUACUCAGGUGCUAUGUGAUACCAUUUCAUAAACAACUUGUUGAUUAUGUUUUGUCUAUUGCAUACUCGCUUGUACUAUCAUACCUACGCUUAGGAUGUUGAGUAGCGACAUACGCAC
rnacentral:rRNA from 1 species